rnacentral:rRNA from 1 species
AUACGUAGGGUGCAAGCGUUAAUCGGAAUUACUGGGCGUAAAGCGUGCGUAGGUGGUUGUUUAAGUUUGUCGUGAAAGCCCUGGGCUCAACCUGGGAAUGGCGAUGGAAACUGGGCGACUAGAGUGUGGCAGAGGGUAGUGGAAUUCCUGGUGUAGCAGUGAAAUGCGUACAGAUGAGGAGGAACAUCCGUGGCGAAGGCGACGGCCUAGGCCAACACUGACACUGAGGCACGAAAGCGUGGGGAGCAAACAGGAUUAGAUUCCCUGGUAGUCCACGCCGUAAACGAUGCGAACUGGAUGUUGGGUGUUAUUUGGCACGCAGUAUCGGAGCUAACGCGUUAAGUCGGCCGCCUGGGGAGUACGGUCGCAAGCCUGAAACUCAAAUGAAUUGGCGGGG